rnacentral:lncRNA from 1 species
AAAAGGAGUAGGUCCGGUAAGGACCGAUUUUGGCCUCAAAUUUCAGGUUCAUCUGACGAAAGAUUUUGACCACUUUUUAAACACUUAAGUGUCUAUUUCAUUUGAAUCAAUUAGUUUAUGUGAAAUAUUUUAAACGAUUUAGUAAUUAAAAACGAUCUGAUUCAAGCUCGUAUAUGAAAAAUCUACCAAAUAUGCCGAAAAA